rnacentral:rRNA from 1 species
AACGAACGCUGGCGGCAUGCCUAACACAUGCAAGUCGAACGAGACCUUCGGGUCUAGUGGCGCACGGGUGCGUAACGCGUGGGAAUCUGCCCUUGGGUUCGGAAUAACAGUUAGAAAUGACUGCUAAUACCGGAUGAUGUCUUCGGACCAAAGAUUUAUCGCCCAGGGAUGAGCCCGCGUAGGAUUAGCUAGUUGGUGGGUAAAGGCCUACCAAGGCGACGAUCCUUAGCUGGUCUGAGAGGAUGAUCAGCCACACUGGGACUGAGACACGGCCCAGACUCCUACGGGAGGCAGCAGUGGGGAAUAUUGGACAAUGGGCGAAAGCCUGAUCCAGCAAUGCCGCGUGAGUGAUGAAGGCCUUAGGGUUGUAAAGCUCUUUUACCCGGGAUGAUAAUGACAGUACCGGGAGAAUAAGCCCCGGCUAACUCCGUGCCAGCAGCCGCGGU